AACGCGAAGAACCUUACCUCGGCUUGACAUGCACGUGGUACUGACUCGUAAGAGAAGGGACCCGCAAGGGAGCGUGCACAGAUGCUGCAUGGCUGUCGUCAGCUCGUGCCGUGAGGUGUUGGGUUAAGUCCCGCAACGAGCGCAACCCUUGUCCUUAGUUGAAAUCUCUAGGGAGACCGCCGGUCUAAACCGGAGGAAGGUGGGGAUGACGUCAAGUCAGCACGGCUCUUACGUCGAGGGCUACACACACGCUACAAUGGCCGGUACAACGGGUUGCUAAGGCGCGAGCUGGAGCUAAUCCCACCAAAGCCGGUCUCAGUUCGGAUCGCAGGCUGCAACUCGCCUGCGUGAAGUCGGAGUUGCUAGUAACUGCUGGUCAGCACACAGCAGUGAAUACGUUCCCGGGCCUUGUACACACCGGUAUCUC
rnacentral:rRNA from 1 species